UAACUCUGUCAUCCUCCUCAUUGUCAGUGCUAAGAUCCUCAAACUCAGGUUCUUCAUCAACCAAUUGCAAUCCCUUCCCUUUAUCUAUAAAUAAACAAGUGAAUAUAUAUUUAAUCGAAAUGAAUAUGUUUUUUUAAAGAACACUUUAAAGGCAACUUAAGUAAUGACACUAACCUUUUGACAUAGUUUUUGAUGGCAAAGUGUUUCUCUUUCUCUUUUGACUUCCUUGUUUACUACUUGUUCCCCGAGUCCCUUGCCCUCCAAGUGUAAUCUCCCUCGUCUCUUCUCCCC
rnacentral:lncRNA from 1 species